CUUUCUCGUAUUAGAACUUGCUAUUUGGCUAACUGGUCAUAAGCUAUCUUGAAAAUUAGGCGCCACUCGGCACUUCCUCACUCAAACAUAUUCACACACGCAAGUACUCACGACGUGUGUUAAUGUGUGUGAAUAAGGGAGUGACUAGUCGCGCCUAAUUUUCAAGAUGGUACUUUUGUUUUCAGCAUGUUACGAAAUAAUGCCCUGAAAUAAUGUCCGUUUCACUGUUUCAGAAACGAUCAUGAGCAACACAUAAUGUGAUUCUGAAAAAAUGCACCAGUGAUCACUGCACUUUGAACAGCUUUAGUCAAGUGCUGACAUUGAAUCUUUUGCGAAGGAUGUCCGUUCAAUAUAAUUCUACAAAAUGAAGACAAUGAAGCGAUUCGCGUUGCGUUGUGCGAUGCUCUGCAUAUUGGCCGCCCUUACUGCCAGCAUUAAACUACAUCAUGGUCCACAUACGCAUUCACAAGGACUUCCAUACAAAAAGCAUACCUACCACGAUAUACCUCUAUGCAGGCGGGUAUCCGCUUGCCCAAAGGGUUGGGUUCAGUUAUGCCUAACACCUGCUAAUCAAUGGACAAUUUUUUGUGCUGAUAGCAGAGCUGUAAUGGAAGCAAAAAAUAAGGGAGAUCAUUUAUAGAAAAAAGGAAACCCCGACGAAGGACCACAGUCUCGUGUUCAUAUAACACCAGUGCAAAUGAGAGCCAAUACUUGACACACCAGCUAUUGAUACGUCCGUGCGGCGCAACCAACGCCUCACAGCAUCACACCUAUGAAUAAAACAAAAUUAUCGAAAGUUUCAUUCCACCUUGAUUGAGACUUUCAGGUGUAAACGAGAAAUAAAUAAAAUUGUGUUGUA